rnacentral:tRNA from 1 species
UCCACAGUAGCUCAUUGGUAGAGCAAUCGGCUGUUAACCGAUCGGUCGCAGGUUCGAGUCCUGCCUGUGGAGCCA